CCUACGGGCGGCAGCAGUGAGGAAUAUUGGUCAAUGGACGAGAGUCUGAACCAGCCAAGUAGCGUGAAGGAUGACUGCCCUAUGGGUUGUAAACUUCUUUUAUAUGGGAAUAAAAUGUUCAACGUGUGGGAUUUUGUAUGUACCAUAUGAAUAAGGAUCGGCUAACUCCGUGCCAGCAGCCGCGGUAAUACGGAGGAUCCGAGCGUUAUCCGGAUUUAUUGGGUUUAAAGGGAGCGUAGGUGGUGUGUUAAGUCAGUUGUGAAAGUUUGCGGCUCAACCGUAAAAUUGCAGUUGAAACUGGCAGUCUUGAGUACAGUAGAGGUGGGCGGAAUUCGUGGUGUAGCGGUGAAAUGCUUAGAUAUCACGAAGAACUCCGAUUGCGAAGGCAGCUCACUGGACUGCAACUGACACUGAGGCUCGAAAGUGUGGGGAUCAAACAGGAUUAGAUACCCGAGUAGUC
rnacentral:rRNA from 1 species